ACAAAAGGGGGAACUCUGAUGAACUCCUUCUCCCGCUCCCUGGACGCCCGAGUAUCUCUUUCUCGCAACUUUGUCAACGCGACUUUCUCCGCUGUCAGGCUGCGCAAAAGUGUCCUAGCGCCUCGCAGGCUGCAACAAUGGAAACAAUGUCCCUUCAAAGUGCGACGAAGUGGAGAGAGAAGGUGUUAUACCAGCGACUCCAAGAGUCAUGUCACCCACUUAGCAGGAGUACUUCUACUGAAAUGCCUUCGCCUUACUCUUAUUGGAUCUAUACCUAUCAGCCGUUAGCAUGGAGACGCCAGGACUGCUGCAAGUUAUCACUGGACAAAAUAUCAUCAACUUCUUCAUUUAAAUUGAGUUUCUUCAGUUAAAUUGCUGGGAUUUUUUGACAAGGCUUUCCUUAUGUGGAUUAUUGGAGUGUGAUGCCCGGGAAUUCUCUACUUGUAGAAGCACCCCCACGUGACUGCAGAAGCCUUCACACCCAGCACGCUCAGAAAGUACUGUCUUAAACCUCACUUAUGUCAGUGGCGGCAGCGGCACCACCAUCACCACCACCACCAUCACCAUCAGAGAAAAAGAAAUCUGCCUUUAUGUCAUGAUGGGAAUGAGUGAUGGCCUUCCAGUGACCAGCUGGGACUGACUGCCUUACAAGACGCAUGUGUAUGAUUAAGAGAGAGACAUGCGUGACUCCCAGAUGUACCUCCUUCCUGUCCCACAGAGUUCCUGAAGGGAGUGAGUUAUGGGGUAACUUAUAACACGGCAGGCUCUUCCUCAAGAUAGCCCUUGUGAAAACAGGAAGACGAAACUCGGGUUUCGACGAGAAGACCACAGCUUGGGAUCCCGUCUGGAUGUACAAGCAGAAACAUCUUCAUACUUUUCCAUUUCUAACCGUCACGCCCCACCCAACCCUCCCAAAGAGACAUCUGCUGAGAGGU